GAUGAGAUCCCCCCUCUCAGUCCACUGUUCUCCAGACUGAACAGCCCCAGGUCUCUCAGCCUUUCCUCAUAAGCGAGAUGCUCCAGGCCCCUCAUCAUCUUUGUGGCAGUUCCCGUGGCCUCACUAGGGCAGAGCAGAGGGGGAGAAUCACCUCCCUCAACAUGCUGGUCACUCUCUUUUUAGUGCACCCAAUACACUAACACAUCCUAUACAUUGCAUUGCAGUGGGCAAUACAGCUCUGUGCCGGGAAUGAAAGACAGGCUUUUGCCCAGUCAGAGGCAAUGCUCACUCCAAGCUGCUUCUCUCUCCCUAGUGUGGUUCUGGGACUAUUUUUCCUCAUAUUGCACUGUCUGGAUGCUGAGGAAAUAUAGCCCAAGGUGCAUUUUAAGAUCAGAUACCAUUCUGCUACUGCGAAUGCCCCUUGUAGCCUUUUUUCUGGCUUCAGAUACCUCUGACACAUAAGAGGAAGGCUCUUGGCUCUCCCUCCCUGCAAGCAGAGGCAAGCUUUUGAACCAAUAGUGUAUCACUCGUCUCACCUUUGGCUACCAGUGGUUCUGUGACUUAGCCCUGCUUCUGACAGCGGGGCUGUCAUCCAGAACCAUCCUUCUGGUUCAUCCAGAUCCAUGAUCUCACUCCAUUCUCACGCUUUGAUUUAGUCCCCAGGAGCACAUGGCUGAGCUUGCAGGCUUUGCUAUUUAUCUAGCUCUUCACUGUUUGCUGUGCUGACAGCUGGCGUCACUGGCGUGUUGGAAAUCUUGGCUUCUGAAGUAGUGCUCCCAAUUCUUUUCUGCACCUUGACGAUGCGAAUCAAGGAGUUCAUCUCCAUGCUGCUGGUAGCAGUGACUGUACUCAUUCCCAAAGUUUGCGUACGUGUUUGAGGUUCUCCUGUUCAAGCAGUGAUAACACCCAGUUCAUGUGUUUACCCGGGCAGAUAAAAGGGCUUCUGACAUUGGCAACUCUAUUAUUUGAGUGGCAUAAAGCAAAGAAAGUAAAGAACAGAAGAAGACACAUCACCAACUAUCAAAAUGCAGAUUGCUGAAGUGGAACGGGAUGUGGAAUUUGUUCUCUGGGUAAUGAGGAAAGACCAAGUAUUUACGAGGCAGGAGAUGAGAUGGUUUGUUCAGCCAGAGGGAAAAGCCAAGCUUUGUAGAAGGGCACUCACUAUACAGGCUUAGGCACGGAGAAAAUCCUGUUUGACCACAAUGGCAACCAAUGUGUUGGCUUAAUAUUCUUAUCACUGUGGUUAUUUUAAAUGGUUUUCUAGCAGCUGCUUCUCCAGCCGUGCCUGAAAAAACAAAGCUUCCAACAGCUCAAAGGCAGAUGUCAUUGGAGGUUGCUGUGGAUGAUGAACAAGAAGGGUUUCUGAAGUAUUAUCGCUGUUUGAGGAGGCGAAAAAAGUGCCAGUCCUGCAGCAGACCCUACAAUCAAUGGAAUCAAAGCAUGCUUUUGGAAGUACUGCAUUGAGCACAAGUAGCAUUUAGCCUUCACGUUGAUGGGUCAUUCUGAAGAGUAUCUGAGAUACUGAAGCUGACAAAAAAAGUCUUCACACCCUGAAGAACUUUUUACACAAGUGAUAGAAGAAAAAUAACUUUCUGAGCAUAUAUUCUUUGCAUGUAGUAGAUGUUUAAAGGGGAAAUAUUGACGUUUGUAUUUAAAAUGGUAAUAAAAACAAGUUUUAUACAAGCAACAUCGCAGAGAAGACUACUUGUGCUCAUAAGCAUGUGGAAAUCAGUAGCUCAAUCUGCACAGCUCCAUCUGCCUUAAAAUAAUUGGGCAUCAUCUCUGCUUUUACACGGGGCCAAGCACUGCAAAUCCCUAUGUAGAUAUUACAUCUGUGUCAAGGCUGCUCAGUCAGGUGGUGAUAUAGUUAACAAUGCAACUUGCUUUCUUCUGUCCCUUUAUGUCAUUUGUUCUCCAGUAACUUUAAAAGUAUUUCCCUGGCCUUUUAAAAAUAGAGCAACUCAAAUGUGGGCAACAGCUUUUUCUUAAACAUGUUCAGGGGAUGGCAUUAGACAUUCAAAACGUAAUAGGUAUGGCUCACCCUAUCCUGGGCAAAUGAAGUAAUGACGGUUUCCUGACACGCUGGGUCAUUUCUACUUCUCUACCCACAUCUCUUCCCUGUGUUGCCUGAAAUACGCAAAUACCAACCAAAGUGUGCUGGUUUAGAUAGCAAAGUUUGUGGAGACAGCAAUCCAUCGUGGAGGGCUGGCGCCAUGAACUUCUCCAUGAGCGUGAGCAGUAAGGGAACCAUCAAAACCUCCUCAGCUGGUCUUUCCCAGACCACACUGUUAAAACAUGGCCAGCCCUCAGCAGAAGGGAUGUGCUUUGUGCUAGGUGGCCCCAAGGUCAAAGAUCACACAACUGGCCCUCUGUAUUUUUAUUCAUCAGUAUGGAGCACGGUCAGGGUGCAUUGCUCCCCAGAUCCCAUUGCAGGUCUGCGACACCAUUCCUCCAAGCCUAACCAAAGCUGGGUUAAAUCUUGCCUGCUACAACCCAGGUCGCUGCUGCAAAGCAUCUUUGCCAGGAAAUUACUAUGGAAAUAAAGACAGAACACUGCUCAAAUUGCUUAUGGAUUCGUGUAUUUUCUAUUUAAAUUUGUAAGGCAUAUGAAAGGAGUAUACAGAUUUUUUGUUUUAUAUAUUAUUAUAUAUUCAGGUACGUAUUUGAAAAUACAAAGUAACAGUUAGUAAUAAAUGACGAGUGACUGCUCAGCUACCGACCCCAGUGUGUAACCUCACAAGUGAGGCUGGAAGGGAAAGGCAUCGUGCCUGUUUUCUCUGUCGAGAAGUUAGAGAAACUAAAAUUGGGUGUUUGACAUUGCUUACAAAUAAUCAUGCUAGGACAUCUGCAAAAGAACUGUGUAGUGUGUGUAAGAGGAAGCCACACAGACACUAUAUACCCAACACCUACUAUUACCCUAGGUAAUGCAUUGUUAGAAAGCAAGCCUACGUUUGACUCGGGCAAAGAUGAAUGGCUAUUCUGUAUCGGUCUUUAUAUGGAUGUAGGUGCUACAGAAGCUACUUCUAGCUGUUUCCAUGUCUAUUUUGUACAUACAGGCAAGACGCAUCAGAAGGAAACUUCCAGGUGCCCCUAUGACUAAAGCACUGCACCCUCUGCUCCAAGGUGCUUGCUGAGGACCUGCUCAGCAAGAAGCAGCCACGGAUGUGACUUUUCAGAGUUGACACAUCUCCAACAGCACGUUCCAUGAAGCCCAGAGAAUAAUUCUUAGUAGUACUGGCUCCCUGAACACAGGGACACGCCAGCCUGGAGAGGUUCAUCUCAUCCAUCCCCCACCUCAGGCAGGAGCUACGCCUCUGUUGUCCUCAGUGGGACAACACCUGGAUAUUUGGAAAGCUCUCGGCAAAGAAGUCCUUGUGGCUGCUUGGGAAAAUCCAAACCCUGCAGCUAAAUCCAGAAAGGGAAGCAUAAAAGGACUGUUUCUUUCUUAGACCCCUAUCUUUGCUUUCCAAAAUCAAAUGGGAGUCACAGAAGGAUGACAGAGAGAUCCUGCACCAGUAGCAGGGGACAGAUGUUCACCCAUAUACUCAAUCAGCAGUGACAACCAAGCCUCUGCCUCCUUGUCAGAUAUUUAUUAUCUGCUAAUCCACGGGCCAGUGACAGUCUGCGUUCCUCUCUUUGUCUGGAGGAAGCUGGAUGGGUUACGCAGCCCUGAGAGAGGAGAAGGAGGGA